rnacentral:lncRNA from 1 species
UUUUUAUUGAGACCAAUUUGGCCUGGGGAGAACCGCCUUCAGGCGUUUGGACUCAGUGGAGGUUGUGAGUGCCCAGCAGUGUGGCCUGAAUCUCCGUGGGGUUUAGGGAGACGAAAGGACCCCAGAUCGACGUCCCCUCGUUCCCACUUUGGGGAUCGGCGCUCUGGCUGUUUCGUGAAGGAGAGAGAGAUUGAUACUGGAAAAGCAGUUUCUAUUGAGCCCCCAAAUGAAGAGUGAGUGCAGAUGAAGAGGAGGCAGGACUCACAAGCCCUUGAACUUUAUUCCAGAUCUGUUAGCACCUACAGGACCCUGCACCAGGAUUUCAUCUGUACUAUCAGCUUCUUCAAAGAGAGAGAGGUUGUUGAAUUGAUAUUGGAAAAGCAGUUUCCCAUUGAGUCUCAAAUGAAGAGAGUGCAGAUGAAGAGGAGGUAGGAGUCACAAGCCCUUGACCCUCAUGCUAGACCCAUUACCACCCACAGGACCUUGCAGUGGGAUUUCAUCUGCACCAUCAGCUUCUUCAGAGAGAGAGGUUGUUGACUCUUCAUGUGGAUGUCUGAGCUCAUAUCAGGUGUCUGAAAGAGGCAGAUUCUGAGGAUUUGGGUCAUGAUGGCUGCCAAAGCUUCUACUCCUGACUUAAAGGGCAACAAUCCUAGGAGACCACCAGCACUUACAUCCCUGGUAGGACAUGACACCUGCUUAUGGCUCAGAAGUGACAAAAGAGAAUUAUCAGGAUGGCAGUCCUUAUAACCAGAUGCUUAUCAACAUUCUUCACUACAUUCUGAAGAUGAAUUUCUACAAGGGAAAUUGUUUAUGGAGGCAGCAGAUGGCUGAAAUUCUGAUCCGAUGUGGCUGGUUAAUGCAUGAUCUGAAAACCCCUGCACUGGUGAUUUUGGGACAGAUCUAGAAUAUACCAAUAAAUAUAUUAACAUACCAAGUAGUCUAGGAGCAGCCACUGGGCGAACACCAAACCUUGCAUCCCUGCUGCUGUCUCUGAGCUCAGCAGACACGUCUUUGCAGAAGAGUUCUAUAAUGGUGGUACAAUGGUGCCCCCUCGUGACAGAAGCUUGAACUACAGCUUGAACAUCGAGAUGAAAAUAUACUGUCUACGUUGUUCAACACAAUAGCUAAUGGCAACUGUGGCAGUUGAACACCCGAAACGUGAUGAAUGUGACUGAGGAACUGAACUUUUAGUUUCAUUGUGACAUGAUGAAUGAAUUUAUUGAGCCCCAGGAAGAAGGAAAAUUAAAGAAGAGCAAAGAAUAAUAGCUGGACAGAAGAUGGGGGUCAUUGAACCUAUAUCCUAGUUGCCAGACCAGUAAACUGACCAUGGGACCUGGGGGAGGCAGCAGAUGACCGAAAACCUGGAGUGAUGUGGCUGAAUACCGCAUGAUCUGAAGACUGCACUGGUGGCUGCGGUAUGGGUCCAAAUUUUUCCUUAACAAAAACAAAAAAAGAGCCCAAAACCAUACUGACUAGUCCAGGAAUAGCCAUUAGGCAAACAACUUUUUGCUACCCUGGUGUUACCGAUUUCUGAACUCAACAGGUGAAUUCAAAGAUAUGCCUGUCUUUCCAGCAUGGGGAGCUGGAUUUGGGUCAGCUCAGGCGCAUGAUGUUGAACAGCUCUUAUGAGCUUCUGAUAGUGCCCAGGAAGUACAGAAACAACUGUCUACAAAUCUUUGAACUCAAGGCAUAUCACAGGGACAUUUGCUUUCUUCAACUAGAUAUCUGUUUUCUCAUAAAGAGAAACAAUGAGAAAUGGUUUUUCACAAUGCCUCGUUAGCCCUGAGGCUCAGCCAUCCCCUAGUGCUGUGUCCCAACAUUUAAAGGCCGUUGAAGUCCCACUCUAUGCCAUAUACUCUGUACAGGUUUUCUCAUUUACCCCUCAGGACAGCACUGUAAGGAUGGUGUGGUCAGUCCCAUUUCAUAGAUGACCAAACUCAGGCUUUCAGAGCCUAAGUCACUUCUCCAGAUAGGUGGUAGGAUUGAAAUGAGGUUCCAUCCCUCAUCAUCCAUAGACAGCCCUGAGUAGCCUCCCUUUUAGAAGAUGGGCUUCCAGGGCUUGAGAAAUGGUCAGAUUCCACCCCCCUGCUAUUGUGGACCAAUGCGUCCUCACUCCACAACCCCUCUGGGUGAUGAAGAAGAUAGAGAAGAUUAAAUCCCACCAUUUAUGCCAAGAGACCUGGGUGUAGGGCCACAUGAGUUGGUUGCUUCUCGAAGUGGUGAGUGGGCUCAGGCAGAAGCUCAAGUGUUGGCCUUGGGACAGGUGAGCUGGAGAGAAGGAAAGUAACAUACACUAAACUACUGUAAGAAAAUGCACUUUAUAUUUCAUCUCCUUUAAUCUUAACUGCUAUUCAAGGUACCUAUCACUUUGACAAUUAUUCAAAUCAGGGUACUUUAGGAAAGUUUAUGUAAAGCAGGGAAUAAACUCUUUUCUCUCCAGUUCAGCAGCUAACUCUAGAAUUACUUUUAAGUAUUUUUAAGUAUUUUUCCAUUUUUUUCUUGAUAUCUCCAGGACUCUCAAUGCUUGAAUUUUUCUCAAGGCCGACAGUACACACGCCCUAAGGUGUUCUUCACUAGUAUUUCUUUUUAAAUUACAAUCUAUAUAUAUCUUAUUCAUAUUAUUGAAGUUGAAAACACAUUCUAAAUGAAAAUAACACUAAGAAUGUCUGUAAAAUAACGGGGAAACAUUUUCAAACUACAUCUCAGAUGUUGGAUUAGUAUCCAUAAUUUAUAGGGCAAACUCAGUAACAAAACAGUUGGCAACUAAUUUUGACAUAGAAUUCCAAUAGAUAUAGACAUGAACAAGGAACUUGUUGAUUAUGCUAAAACUAUAAGAACUAAUAAGAUGCUAAUAUAAAUCCUCAGAAGAAUAUUAAGUGGAAAAGACAGCUUGCAAAAGGAGAUGAUUAAUGUGGUUGCACUUUUUGGCAAAGAUUACGUGCAUAUGUAGGUGAACAUGGUCAUGUGCACCUCAUCCACAGAAACAUGUCUGGAAAGUGUGCACCAUUCUAUGGACAACAGACCUUUUGGGUCAGGAGGUAGGAGUUGAGCUACUGAGAGGUGAAGAUUAAUUACAAUUCAUAUAUGUGCUUUUGUAUAUUGUCUGAAAUUUGGUAUUCAGGAAUAAAAAUAUUUUGAUGAAUAUUUAGACACAACAUAACAUACAUUUGCACAGAUUGACAAAAGUAAUGUGUAUUAUGUUCAUUAAUUUGAAAUAGCUAUUACUGUAUUCUAUUUAAUGGUGAAGGAAGUAGUUAAGUAGAAGGACACAAAACAAGUCUCAACAAAUUUAAAAAAUCAAAAUCAUAUCAAGUAUGUUCUCAGACAAAAAUGUAAUAAAAGUAGAAAUCAAUAACAAGAGGAACCUGGGAAACUGUACAAAUAUGUGGAAAAUAAACAAACAGCAUGCUCCAGAAUGACCACUGAGUCAAGAAAAAAAAUAUGGAGGAUAUCAAAAAGUUAUUUGAAACAAAUGAAAAUGGAAACACAACAUACCAAAAUCUAUGGGAUACAGCAAAAGCAGUGCUUAGAGAAAAAUUUGUAGCAAUAGAUGCCUACAUCAAAAAAGUAAAAAGAUUCCAAAUAACCAAUCUAACUGUUCACCUCAAGGAACUAAAAAAGGAAAAACCAAAUCCCAAAUGAGUAGAAGGAAGGAAACAGUAAAGGUCAGAGCCAAACUAAACAAAAUAGAAACUAAAAAUAUACAAAAUUUUAAUGAAACAAAAAGUUAGAUUUCUGAAAAGAUAAAAAAUUGAUAAACCAUCAGCUAGACUAACCAAGAAAAAAAA